GACGAACGCUGGCGGCGUGCCUAACACAUGCAAGUCGAGCGGGGAGAUAUUUUCGGAUUUCUCUUUAGCGGCGGACGGGUGAGUAACACGUGGGUAACCUGCCUCACAGAGGGGGAUAGCCUUCCGAAAGGACGAUUAAUACCGCAUAAUACCAGGAAGCUGCAUGGCAUUCUGAUUACAGGAGCAAUCCGCUUUGAGAUGGACCCGCGGCGCAUUAGCUAGUUGGUGAGGUAACGGCCCACCAAGGCGACGAUGCGUAGCCGACCUGAGAGGGUGAUCGGGCACAGUGGAACUGAGACACGGUCCAGACUCCUACGGGAGGCAGCAGUGGGGAAUAUUGCACAAUGGGGGAAACCCUGAUGCAGCAACGCCGCGUGAGUGAUGAAGGCCUUCGGGUCGUAAAGCUCUUUGAUCAGGGACGAUAAUGACGGUACCUGAAAAACAAGCCACGGCUAACUACGUGCCAGCCGCCGCGGUAACAC
rnacentral:rRNA from 1 species